rnacentral:rRNA from 1 species
GACGAACGCUGGCGGCGUGCUUAACACAUGCAAGUCGAACGGAAAGGCCCUGCUUUUGUGGGGUGCUCGAGUGGCGAACGGGUGAGUAACACGUGAGUAACCUGCCCUUGACUUUGGGAUAACUUCAGGAAACUGGGGCUAAUACCGGAUAGGAGCUCCUGCUGCAUGGUGGGGGUUGGAAAGUUUCGGCGGUUGGGGAUGGACUCGCGGCUUAUCAGCUUGUUGGUGGGGUAGUGGUUUACCAAGGCUUUGACGGGUAGCCGGCCUGGGAGGGUGACCGGCCACAUGGGGACUGAGAGACGGACCAGACUCCUACGGGAGGCAGCAGUGGGGAAUAUUGCAGAGUGGGCGGAAGCCUGAUGCAGCAACGCCGCGUGCGGGAUGACGGCCUUCGGGUUGUAAACCGCUUUCGCCUGUGACGAAGCGUGAGUGACGGUAAUGGGUAAAGAAGCACCGGCUAACUACGUG